UGCAUUUCCAGUGUAGCAUUAUUUUCAAGUUCUGAACACCUCUUGCUGUAACACAGGGCCUCCAUCAGUUGGUGUUAUGUGAGGUACAAGGCUGCGGAGAUUGUCAAGGAUUUGAUCGCCAAGACUCCCGAGUUCAAUGACCUGCUGCGGUUGCCCAACCGCCGAGACAGGCCACACGACAUUCUUCCCAUAGGAUCCUGUUCUUCCCGGAGGCAUCACAUCAAGAAAAGAGGCCGAAUUCCAGCUUCUUAUCUUGCCAGAUUCUACCUUCAGAACAAGAGGAGCCUGCCAUCUUCAAGUCAAUGCGAGGGAACUUCUUUAGUGUCAGGGGAGCCAUGUAAGGCAUCAUUAUCAACCUGGCUGGUGGAUAUUGUUGAUGAAUCUGUGAAAGCUGGUAUACACCGCCGAGUUGUCUGACAAAGCACCAAUUAGAAGAUUCCUGCAACCAAAGUCCCACAUUGUCAUAUAAACGGGUUGUUCAUAAUCCUCCCGCUCCGUGAAAUCAGAGGAUCUGUGGAGCGCCUCCUUCCCCACUCCGUGAUUUUGAACUGCCGCUCCUCCAACUCCGGGAGCCGAGUUGUGGAGGGGAGGGAAUCCGAACAGGCCCAGAGUUUGCUACAAGCAGUGGCAUUGCAACUCUCAUUAAAAUCCUGAGCUCCUGGUCGAGUGCUGGUCACGGUGUUUCGACUUGUGCUUCUCAGUCUCAGUUGAGGGACAUCUAAUUAGCAGAGGGCAAGUGUUAGAUUAUUAUUAGCUUGAGUAAUGUUAGUCGCUUGGUUUGCAAGUUCAACUUGAUCUGUAAAUCUAUUUACUAUUAUUAUGUCGC